GCCUCAAUUAAACCAGCUAUCUAAUCACAGAGCUUGAAAUCCUUUUCCUGUCUGCAGCAGCAGAAUCUGGAAGAAGAGAAGUUAUACAGUUGCCCAGCAGAGAUGCCUCUUUGCUGUCUCAGCCUGGAUGCCUGUGGCAACAGUUGCAGUAGGAACAGCCCACCUGGAAGUCUUCCUGUCAGCAUCAUUGGAUCCUGGGAACCCACAAUUUCCUGCUCUUCACCAAGUUCUGGAUAGCCAAACCACAAGAAAACACUCGAAGGCAGAAAGCCACGAGUUGUCAUGAAAAGUACUAGGGAAGGGCCAAUGAGAUGGGUAGCUGGGUGGAAGGAAAGAGCUGACUCCUCCUAAUUUGUUCAUUGACCUCCAUAUAAACAGAAUGACAGAAUGGCAUGG